CCUACGGGGGGCUGCAGUGAGGAAUAUUGGUCAAUGGACGAGAGUCUGAACCAGCCAAGUAGCGUGAAGGAUGACUGCCCUAUGGGUUGUAAACUUCUUUUAUAUGGGAAUAAAAUGUUCCACGUGUGGGAUUUUGUAUGUACCAUAUGAAUAAGGAUCGGCUAACUCCGUGCCAGCAGCCGCGGUAAUACGGAGGAUCCGAGCGUUAUCCGGAUUUAUUGGGUUUAAAGGGAGCGUAGGUGGAUUGUUAAGUCAGUUGUGAAAGUCUGCGGCUCAACCUUAAAAUUGCAGUUGAUACUGGCAGUCUUGAGGACAGUAGAGGUGGGCGGAAUGUGUAGUGUAGCCGUGAAAUGCUUAGAUAUCACGAAGAACUCCGAUUGCGAAGGCAGCUCACUGGACUGCAACUGACACUGAGGCUCGAAAGUGUGGGUAUCAAAUAGGAUUAGAUACCCCUGUAGUC
rnacentral:rRNA from 1 species